rnacentral:rRNA from 1 species
AGAGCGGCGGACGGGUGAGUAACGCGUGGGUAACCUGCCCUGUACACACGGAUAACAUACCGAAAGGUAUGCUAAUACGAGAUAAUAUGCUUUUAUCGCAUGGUAGAAGUAUCAAAGCUUUUGCGGUACAGGAUGGACCCGCGUCUGAUUAGCUAGUUGGUAAGGUAACGGCUUACCAAGGCGACGAUCAGUAGCCGACCUGAGAGGGUGAUCGGCCACAUUGGAACUGAGACACGGUCCAAACUCCUACGGGAGGCAGCAGUGGGGAAUAUUGCACAAUGGGCGAAAGCCUGAUGCAGCAACGCCGCGUGAGCGAUGAAGGCCUUCGGGUCGUAAAGCUCUGUCCUCAAGGAAGAUAAUGACGGUACUUGAGGAGGAAGCCCCGGCUAACUACGUGCCAGCAGCCGCGGUAAUACGUAGGGGGCUAGCGUUAUCCGGAAUUACUGGGCGUAAAGGGUGCGUAGGUGGUUUCUUAAGUCAGAGGUGAAAGGCUACGGCUCAACCGUAGUAAGCCUUUGAAACUGGGAAACUUGAGUGCAGGAGAGGAGAGUGGAAUUCCUAGUGUAGCGGUGAAAUGCGU